AUUGGCAGGAUACACUGGAUUGAUAAGGAGAGACUCACUCAGUUCAUAAUGGCAACUCAAGAUGAUGAAACAGGAGGACUCUCUGAUAGACCAGGAGACAUGGUUGAUCCUUUUCAUACCUUAUUUGGAUUGGCUGGUCUCUCAUUGCUAGGCAAUAGACAGAUCAAAGGAGUUAAUCCGAUUUUCUGUCUACCACAAAAUGU